ACGCUAGUAGUAUAUUGAGUACAUUGUCUUUCCAAGUCAGUGGUCCUAUGUAUUAGGUUAGUGUA
rnacentral:tRNA from 1 species